rnacentral:misc_RNA from 1 species
GGAAGGAUCAUUAUUGAUUUUCAAGGGAUGUUGCUGGCUCCUCCCGGGGCAUGUGCACUCCUAACUAAAACCAAUAUCCACCUGUGCACCCUCAGUAGGCAAGAGAAGAACCCCCCUAACAAGGGCCUUUUUUUGUCUAUGUUUCUAUCACAAACGCUUGAUCUAUUUGAAUGCUAACACAACAAAUAAUAUUUGUAACACAACUUUCAACAAUGGAUCUCUUGGUUCUCGCAUCGAUGAAGAACGCAGCGAAUUGCGAUAUGUAAUGUGAAUUGCAGAAUUCAGUGAAUCAUCGAAUCUUUGAACGCACAUUGCACCCUCUGGUAUUCCGGAGGGUAUGCCUGUUUGAGUGUCAUGAAUACGUCAACACAGGCGAGUUUGUCAAGACUUGCUCUGCUGUUUGGAUGUUGAAGGCUUGCUGGCAUUGAUGUGUUCUGUCAGCUCCUUUUAAAUUCAUUAGCAGGAACCUUUGCAGGACUGGCUUCAGUUUGAUAAGAUUGAACUGUUGUUAGAAUGCGCUUUUGCUGUUCCGGCUUCUAAUUGUCUGGUAAAACUGGACUGUCUCGCUCUGAGACAUUUACAUUUGACAACUUGGCCUCAAAUCAGGUAGGACUACCCGCUGAACUUAAGCAUAUCAAUAAGCGGAGGAAAAGAAACUAACAAGGAUUCCCCCAGUAACUGCGAGUGAAGAGGGAAAAGCUCAAAUUUAAAAUCUGGCAGUCUUUGGCUGUCCGAGUUGUAAAUUAGAGAAGCGUUAUCCGCGCUGGCCGUGCAUAAGUCCCUUGGAAAAGGGCAUCAUAGAGGGUGACAAUCCCGUCUUCGGCACGGACUACCAGUGCUUCUGUGAUGCGCUCUCGAUGAGUCGAGUUGUUUGGGAAUGCAGCUCUAAAUGGGUGGUAAAUUCCAUCUAAAGCUAAAUAUUGGCGAGAGACCGAUAGCGCACAAGUACCGUGAGGGAAAGAUGAAAAGAACUUUGAAAAGAGAGUUAAACAGUACGUGAAAUUGUUGAAAGGGAAACGCUUGAAGUCAGUCGCAUCCUUCAGAAAUCAACCUGACUUAGGUCUCGUGCACUUUCUGCUUGGAUGGGUCAGCAUCAAUUUUGACCAUUGGACAAAGACCUUGGGAACGUGGCAUCUCCUGAUGUGUUAUAGCCCAGGGAUCACAUACAGUGGUUGGGAUUGAGGACAUCUCAGUGCUUGCACUGCAGGAUGCUGGCAUAAUGGCUUUAAUCGACCCGUCUUGAAACACGGACCAAGGAGUCUAACAUACAUGCGAGUGUUUGAGUGGAAAACUCGAGCGCGCAAUGAAAGUGAAAGUUGAGAACCCUGUCGUGGGGUGCAUCGACGCCCGGACCGUCACUUCUGUGGCAGACCUGCGGUAGAGCAUGCAUGUUGGGACCCGAAAGAUGGUGAACUAUGCCUGAAUAGGGUGAAGCCAGAGGAAACUCUGGUGGAAGCUCGUAGCGAUUCUGACGUGCAAAUCGAUCGUCGAAUUUGGGUAUAGGGGCGAAAGACUAAUCGAACCAUCUAGUAGCUGGUUCCCGC